UUUGGUUAGUCAGAUGCACCCUUUCUCCCAUUGGUAAAAAUAUAAAUAUGAUACUCUGGAUAACCUCCCGGGUGAAAUGCUCACCGAUAUCCGUGCGCUUGUGGAUCAAUUCCUUAUUGCGUUACCAAAUAUCAACAAGCAUUUCUGGCGCCGUUGCUGGGGAGAAAGACGGUUUGCUGAGAUAACUUUAAAUCUUGCUAUUAUCUUGUAUUAUACUUUUAUUCUUUUAUCUUUUUAUUUUUUCCAUCUUUAUGGAUAACUCAAAUUCCACACCUAUUAUUGAAUUUUUUGCACCUUCGGAGACCAGCCAUAGACCAUGGGAGUUAACAAGUUCUGCUCCUAAUUAUGAUCUGUGUCCGGAGUUGAUUGCAAUAGGUCAAAACCAACCCUUUUCUAUAGCUGAGGUCCUAUCUUUUAAUCAAAAAGAUAAUGAACUUUUAGCUACACCUAGGGAAUCUGUUAAUCUUUCUAUAAAUUUUGGUUUAAACCUAGCCCUACAAGACCAUGUUUUUUCUCGAUAUUUUCACAUUGGUCUUAAUCAUAUACCCUUUGGUAGAGUUUUUCUUUCUUUAUCUGUUAGUAAAGCAAGGU
rnacentral:lncRNA from 1 species